GGUUUGAUCAUGGCUCAGAUUGAACGCUGGCGGGAUGCUUUACACAUGCAAUGAACGGCAGCACGGACUUUUCGGUCUGGUGGCGAGUGGCGAUCGGGUGAGUAAUGUAUCGGAACGCCUAGUAGCGGGGGAUAACUACGCGAAAGCGUAGUAGCCAAUACCGCAUACGCCCUUCGGGGAAAGCGGGGGGACCUCGGGCCUCGCACUAUUAGAGCGGCCGAAUGGAUUAGCUGGUUGGUGGGGUAACGGCUCACCAAGGUAGACGAUCCGGUGUAGCUGGUUUGAGAGGGGACGACCAGCCACACUGACUGGGAGGACACGGGCCCAGACUCCUACGGAGGCAGCAGUGGGGAAUUUUGGACAAUGGGGAAAUCCCCUGAUCCAGCCAUCAUGUGUGCGAUGAAGGCCUUCGGGUUGUAAAGCACUUUUGGCAGGAAAGAAACGGCAUUACCCCGUGCAACUGACGGUACCUGCAGAAUAAGCACCGGCUAACUACGCCAGCAGCCGCGGUAAUACGUAGGGUGCAAGCGUUAAUCGGAAUUGACGGCGUAAAAGUGGUGCAGGCGGUUCGGAAAGAAAGAUGUGAAAUCCCAGAGCUUAACUUUGGAACUGCAUUUUUAACUACCGAGCUAGAGUGCCAGAGGGAGGUGGAAUUCCGCGUGUAGCAGUGAAAUGCGUAGAUAUGCGGAGGAACACCGAUGGCGAAGGCAGCCUCCUGGGAUAACACUGACGCCUGGCACUAAAGCGUGGGGAGCAACAGGAUUAGAGCACCCUGGUGUAGUCCACGCCCUAAACGAUGUCAACUAGCUGUUGGGGCCUUCGCCUGGUAGCGCAGCUAACGCGUGAAGUUGACCGCCUGGGGAGCAUGGUCGCAAGAUUAAAACUCAAAGGAAUUGACGGGGACUCGCACAAGCGGUGAUGAUGUGGAUUAAUUCGAUGCAACGCGAAAAACCCACUUCAUCCUUGACAUGUCUGGAACUCGAAGAGAUUUGGGAAAGUCGCAAGAGAACCGGAAACGACAGGUGCUAAUAUUGUCGUCAGUCUGUGUCGAGAUGCUGCUGAGUCCCGCAACGAGCAACCUUGUCAUUAGUUGCUACGAAAGGGCACCUUAAUGAGACUGCCGGUGACAAACCGAGGGAAGGUGGGGAUGGACGUCAAGUCCUCAUGGCCCUUAUGGGUAGGGCUUCACACGUCAUACAAUGGUCGAUGAGGGUCGCCAACCCGCGAGGGGGAGCCAAUCCCAGAAACCCGAUCGUAGUCCGGAUCGCAGUUCGCAACUCGAUCGCGUGAAGUCGGAAUCGCUAGUAAUCGCGGAUCAGCAUGUCGCGGUGAAUACGUUCCCGGGUCUUGUACACACCGCCCGUCACACCAUGGGAGUGGGUUUUACCAGAAGUAGUUAGCCUAACCGUAAGGAGGGCGAUUACCACGGUAGGAUUCAUGGACUGGGGUGAAGUCGUAAUGUUGCAA
rnacentral:rRNA from 1 species